CUUCCAAUUCAGAGAAACCCCGGAAUUAAAGGUUCAAGUCCCUCUAUCCCCAAUAAAAGCCUAUUUUUCUUACUAACUUUACUUCCUAACUACUUUUUAUCUUUUCCUUUAAUUUAUCUAAAAAUUAAGGGGCUGGGUAAGAUUUUUUA
rnacentral:tRNA from 1 species